GUAUAAUCAUACUACACCACACUCAUCAAAACACUCUCAUCUCAGAAGCUUGGUGAUUAAAUUCCUGUGACAAAUCCAGAUGACCAUCACUAAACUAAGAAGCUACGUGUUUAAGCUAGCACCCCUUGGUGAGCGGAGUGAGUUUUCACGGUGUUUAUGCUGGUUCCAGAAUAAAACUCAUUACACCCAUCAGAGACUCUCUGCUUCGUUUAAAGGAAAUCAAGGGC